rnacentral:rRNA from 1 species
UACGUAGGGGGCGAGCGUUGUCCGGAGUUACUGGGCGUAAAGCGCACGCAGGCGGUCUGCUAAGUUUGGAGUGACAGUUGGUGGCUUAACUGCCAAAGUGCUUCGAAAACUGAACAGACUUGAGGGCUUCAGAGGGACACGGAAUUCCGGGGUGGAGUGGUGAAAUGCGUAGAGAUCCGGAGGAACACCAAAGGCGAAGGCAGUGUCCUGGGG